rnacentral:tRNA from 1 species
GGAGAGAUGGCUUAGUGGUUAAAAGCACUGGUUGUUGUUCUUCCAGAGGACCUGGGUUCAAUUCCCAGCACCC